UGCCUCAAAGAGGGGGACAACAGUUGGAAACGACUGCUAAUACCGCAUAAGCCCACGGCUCGGCAUCGAGCAGAGGGAAAAGGAGCAAUCCGCUUUGAGAUGGCCUCGCGUCCGAUUAGCUAGUUGGUGAGGUAACGGCCCACCAAGGCGACGAUCGGUAGCCGGACUGAGAGGUUGAACGGCCACAUUGGGACUGAGACACGGCCCAGACUCCUACGGGAGGCAGCAGUGGGGAAUAUUGCACAAUGGGGGAAACCCUGAUGCAGCGACGCCGCGUGGAGGAAGAAGGUCUUCGGAUUGUAAACUCCUGUUGUUGGGGAAGAUAAUGACGGUACCCAACAAGGAAGUGACGGCUAACUACGUGCCAGCAGCCGCGGUAAAACGUAGGUCACAAGCGUUGUCCGGAAUUACUGGGUGUAAAGGGAGCGCAGGCGGGAAGACAAGUUGGAAGUGAAAUCUAUGGGCUCAACCCAUAAACUGCUUUCAAAACUGUUUUUCUUGAGUAGUGCAGAGGUAGGCGGAAUUCCCGGUGUAGCGGUGGAAUGCGUAGAUAUCGGGAGGAACACCAGUGGCGAAGGCGGCCUACUGGGCACCAACUGACGCUGAGGCUCGAAAGUGUGGGUAGCAAACAGGAUUAGAUACCCUGGUAGUCCACACCGUAAACGAUGAUUACUAGGUGUUGGAGGAUUGACCCCUUCAGUGCCGCAG
rnacentral:rRNA from 1 species